rnacentral:rRNA from 1 species
AGUCUGCAACCCGACUACAUGAAGCUGGAAUCGCUAGUAAUCGCGGAUCAGAAUGCCGCGGUGAAUACGUUCCCGGGUCUUGUACACACCGCCCGUCACACCAUGGGAGUCGGAAAUGCCCGAAGUCUGUGACCCAACCUGAGAGGGAGGGAGCAGCCGAAGGCAGGUCGGAUGACUGGGGUGAAGUCGUAACAAGGUACC